rnacentral:rRNA from 1 species
AGAGUUUGAUCAUGGCUCAGGAUGAACGCUAGCGGCAGGCUUAAUACAUGCAAGUCGAGGGGCAGCGCAGUGUAGCAAUACAUGGGCGGCGACCGGCAAACGGGUGCGGAACACGUACGCAACUUUCCUCUAAGCGGGGCAUAGCUCGGAGAAAUCCGGAUUAAUACCCCAUAACAUUGCAGGUAGGCAUCUACUCACAAUUAAAGAUUUAUCACUUAGAGAUGGGCGUGCGGCUGAUUAGGUAGUUGGCGGGGUAACGGCCCACCAAGCCUGCGAUCAGUAACUGGUGUGAGAGCACGACCAGUCACACGGGCACUGAGACACGGGCCCGACUCCUACGGGAGGCAGCAGUAAGGAAUAUUGGUCAAUGGACGCAAGUCUGAACCAGCCAUGCCGCGUGGAGGAUGAAGGUCCUCUGGAUUGUAAACUUCUUUUAUCUGGGACGAAAAAGGGGGAUUCUUCCUCAACUGACGGUACCAGAUGAAUAAGCACCGGCUAACUCCGUGCCAGCAGCGGCGGUAAUUC